rnacentral:lncRNA from 1 species
AUAUAUAUAUAUGUUUAUACAUAUCAAUACUGAAGUACUAAGACAACACUUACCUAGGCCACAUUCUCCAACUGCUAUUACCUUUGUCUUAUUCUUUUCAAUCAGACUUUUUAAUUCUGACAAAUACUGGUCAGGGUUACUCUGCUCAAAUUCCCCGCAGCGCGUAGGGUGGCAGCCAGCUGUGCUGUAAAACAUAUCAUUGGUCUGUGCCAGCUGCAAUGCAUCUUUACUGUCCUGGAGACUCCCACCUGUAAUCAAAAACUUUUUCACACCAACUGCGACAGCU